rnacentral:rRNA from 1 species
CAGUCGCCGCGGUAACACGGAGGGGGCUAGCGUUGUUCGGAAUUACUGGGCGUAAAGCGCACGUAGGCGGCUUGGUAAGUUAGAGGUGAAAGCCUGGAGCCCAACUCCAGAAUUGCCUUUAAGACUGCCGAGCUAGCAGGUGAGAGAGGUAAGUGGAAUUCCGAGUGUAGAGGUGAAAUUCGUAGAUAUUCGGAAGAACACCAGUGGCGAAGGCGGCUUACUGGCUCAUACUGGACGCUGAGGUGCGAAAGCGUGGGGAGCAAACAGGAUUAGAUACCCCAGUAGUCCCUGUCUCUUAUAA